CGCAGCUGCCUGUGAUUCAUUCCUCUGAGGCCUGCUCCAGUACCUAUGUGGUGGACAGUGUGUGGGAUCUCACUGAAAGUGGCUAGUAUCUGAGAGUCUAUAUUUUGGGGGAAGGAGAAGGUCACUACCUGAACAAAGGACCCUUGGACCCUUAAGAAAAGACUCCCUCAAGAAAAGACGCCACCACCCCCUCAAGCAAGGUGUGACUGGAAUGACCAACGAGUACCAUGAAGAGCUGGGGUUGCUUUUGGCAAGACAGCAAGUCCUCUCUGAACCUUCGGUUCUCCUCUCUGCCCUCCAGGGACUGCUUGUUUGUUUGGAGUAGCCUCUGUUGCCCCUUGAGCUGGUCAUCAUUUUGACAGGCACAUUUCUGAAGACAGCCCUCUUGGGGUUUAUUUAUGGCAUUUUGCAACUGUCCAGGAUGGUUGUUUUCCAUUCCUAAGAUUUCUCCUCCAAAAGCCUUGGAACUACUUACCAAGUUCUUCCAAUGAUGUCACUCCCUUAUGACCUCAAAUGGCCAGAGUGACCUUGUGUGUCCAUCCCUCCCCCUACCGUAUCCCUCACCUUUCCAACCUUACCCAGUUUCAAUGGUGGGUGUAGCUAUAUCAGUUAAGACAAAACCCAAUAAAACUUUUCUGUCGA